rnacentral:rRNA from 1 species
AUGCCGCCGGCCACCAAGCUUCCGGGGUCGGGCGGCGCUGGAGGCGGAGGCGGGAUGCCGGCCAUCCCGGGCAUCGGCACCAUCCCGGGGUUCAACGUGCCGGGGAUGGGGGGCGGGUGGGGCGGGGGCUACGGCGGGCCCGACGGCGGGUACUCGCGCGGCGGCGUGGCGGCGUCCACCACCGUCUGCUCAGAGAAGGGCCCCUGCUACAGGAAGAAGCUGACGUGCCCCAAGAAGUGCUUCUCCUCCUACAGCGGCGCCGGCAAGGGGUACGGCGGCGGCGGCGGCGGCGGCGGCUGCACCGUCGACUGCAAGACCAAGUGCGUCGCCUACUGCUGA